AUAACAACAACACGACGGGGAAAAGCCAAGAACCACCGACUUCUUGGACAAUGCCCCGUAGUGGGUAAGCGCCACAAAUGAGGAGCAAGCAACCAAGGAAGCGAAGCAAAGCAAAGCAAGCCAGCCAGCGAGCCAGCCAACCACUGCUCUGAGUGGAAGCUCACGGACAGAACCAGGUACCUCGUUCCAACAUUCGACCGCUUGCGGGUAAAGAAAAAUCGUGUUUGAAAUUGUUAGGGCCCGCAAGGAAUUAAAGACUUGAAGGAGCUGUUCCGGAGAGGAAACAAAGGAGAAACCCCCGAA